GGUUGGUUUGCUUUUAUGAUGAUUCCAAAACACUUUAAACCCAUUCCCUUAAAUUUCGUGAUGUUCUCCAAAGAAAAGCACCUCCUCAAUCGUCAUUAUACCACCCCUCGAUCUCGUUCUUCAAAGUCAUGGUUAACUUUUUCCAAAAAAAAAUACGAGAGAAUCAAUCCAAGAUUUGUCGACCAUCGCCAUGGCGGAACACAAUCUUCAAAACGAAAUUGUAGGUGAAGGAGAUGAAGUGUUUGCUAUCUUUCAGCGUCCAACAGAACACUGGAUCGUCUACAGUGAUGUGGCUGCGUUAUUCAAUCAGCACUUCAAUGGUACUCCUUUCAAUUGGACAUGUGUCCCCUUUUGUGGAAGGUUUGUUCGUGUAUCUGGAUACCAAUUUUGUAGAUCGGUAUGAUUGGAUUCAUGUGCAAUAACAUAGGAGGCUUAAUGUAAAUCCAAGAAUUUAGGGCCCGACAUCGGUUACACGUUUGCUGUGUUCGACACAACAGAGGGUAGGUUCAUGAGGAGAACACACCACCACGGAUUGACCAGAAAUGUAGCUAUCGUUCACUACCGGGUUGUUCCACCUGCGGUUCUCGUCCGCCAAAGAUGAAGCGGCGGAGGCGGAAGAAGUCGGUGAGGAUCCUGUGGUGGAGGAAGAUUUGGAAGUGGCUGAAGGAAGGGAAGUUGAAGGUUCAGAGUCAGAAGGUGAAAUCUGAGUCUGAGGCUGAUGAUCGGGAUAAACAUCCCGACUACAACCCGUACCAACAUGGCUUAGUCGCUUUGGCUAACUUUCUUUCAACUCCACAUGCUGCUAGCGUGCAGGAACAUGUUCUUAUCAGAAAAGUGAUUGAACUACAUGAUAAAUACAUCGUCUAUGAAAUUGGCGCUCAGUGCUCUCAGUUCGUGAAGCGGAGGCUCUGUGAGAAUCUUCUUAGGCAUGGGAGGUUUCGUGAAGACGCUGCAAAGGCUUGUAACACGGCCUUCUUGAGCACGAACUCUCAGUUACAUGUUGAUGUGGUGGAUGAUAGUAUGAGUUGGACAACGGCUAUUAUGGUUAUGGUUAGAGGGAGGACGAUCUACGUGGCGAAUGCUGGUGACUCGAACGGGAGUUUUGGCUGAGAAGAGGGAUGGUGAUCUUGUGGCUGUUGAUUUUUCUAUUGACCAGACUCCAUUUAGAGCUGAUGAGCUUGAAAGGGUGAAGCUUUGUGGACUUAGAGUUCUUACUCUUGAUCAGAUUGAAAGUUUGAAGAAUCCUGAUGUUCAGUGUUAGGGUACUGAGGAGGAUGAUGAUGGAGACCCUUUGACUCCGAGGCUUUGGGUUCCCAAUGUGAUGUAUCCGGGAACUGCGUUUACGAGGAGUAUUGGUGAUUCUAUUGCGGAGACGAUUGGGGUUGUUGCUAAUCUUGAGAAUUAAUGUUGUUGAGCUCAAGCCGGAUAAUCCUUUCUUCCAGAACCACACCCUCUUCCACAAGGCUCUGAAAGAGGCAUUUGAGAUAUUCUGUAACAAAACCGUCGCUGGAAGUUCAAGUGCAGAAUUGCUUGCAGCAUUAUGCGCCAAUAUCCUUAAGAAGAGGGGUAGUGAGAAAUGGGGUCCACAGCUGGACCAAGCAACCUACAAGAAUCGCCAGCAUCUAUAUCUCUCUGAACAAACUGAUGGCAAUGUGCCCAACACUCUUGUCAUAGCCAAUUGUGAAGUUGUUAAGCCAAGAGUCGCUGCAGCUGAGCACAUAUCUCAGUUCAAUGAAAAACACGUUCUCCAUUUGUGAAGAAGUACAAGACCUCAUCAUUCACUCUGGAGAGGUUAACAGAAUCAGGGAACUCUCGCAAAACAGUAAGAUCAUUUCUACUCACACCAAUAGCCCUGAUGUUCUCAUUUGGGUUGUCGAUUUACACUAGAAUGCGCCGGACCCUUGGACUAUUGUCAGUGUUUCUGAUGACUGUGAGAACUGGUGGAGGUGGAACAUUGCAGUGGAGUCUAGCUGAAGCCAAUUUAGUUUCCAAAUGCAAUAAACUUUAGCACCGGAAAUUAUGCUGCAAGCUAAACAAAAUAUCAUCUCUAAUGAUAUUCUCAAUUCAUUAGUCGACACAUCCGCUUUUCGUUUUCAUAUGCUUUUGGUGUUCUAUUUUUUCAACGAAUUAGUGUUUUAAUUUAAAUGUCAUGUUUGUGAUCUUAUGCAGGUCUAAUAGAGACUGGGAUGAUGGCUACAAUCAAAAGAGAUUUUGUGACUUAUAUGUGAGAAACUUUUUUUUUUUUUGUUAGUUAUUUGUUUGCCUAAUUGUUUGCUUAAUUUAAUUGUGUUAUCGUGUUAAUGUAAAUGUCAUGUCUGUUAGUAACCACAUUUACAAAGUGAAUUGUGUCCGCUCACAUAACAAGGAACAAGAAGAGGUUACAGCUUAACCAGAAAAAAGAAAUUGAAA